ACUUGUGGUCAAAUCUCUGUGUCAAAGCUGGAUAUUGUCAGGUCUCAGAAGCUAAGCAGGACCGGGCCAGGUUAGUACUUGGAUGAGAGAACACUGGGAAGUCAAGGUGCCACAGUGA
rnacentral:rRNA from 1 species